rnacentral:rRNA from 2 species
AUACCGGCAGCACGAGUGAUGGCCGAUAUUAUUGGGCCUAAAGCGUCCGUAGCUUGCUGUGUAAGUCCAUUGGGAAAUCCACGCGCUCAACGCGUGGGCGUCCGGUGGAAACUGCACGGCUUGGGGCCGAGAGACUCGACGGGUACGUCCGGGGUAGGAGUGAAAUCCUGUAAUCCUGGACGGACCACCAAUGGGGAAACCACGUCGAGAGACCGGACCCGACAGUGAGGGACGAAAGCCAGGGUCUCGAACCGGAUUAGAUACCCGGGUAGUCCUGGCUGUAAACGAUGCUCGCUAGGUAUGUCACGCGCCAUGAGCGCCUGAUGUGCCGUAGUGAAGACGAUAAGCGAGCCGCCUGGGAAGUACGUCCGCAAGGAUGAA